AUACAAAGGGCAGCGAAACCGCGAGGUCAAGCAAAUCCCAUAAAGUUGUUCUCAGUUCGGAUUGUAGUCUGCAACUCGACUACAUGAAGCUGGAAUCGCUAGUAAUCGUAGAUCAGCAUGCUACGGUGAAUACGUUCCCGGGUCUUGUACACACCGCCCGUCACACCACGAGAGUUUGUAACACCCGAAGCCGGUGGAGUAACCUUUUAGGAGCUAGCCGUCGAAGGUGGGACAAAUGAUUGGGGUGAAGUCGUAACAAGGUAGCCGUAUCGGAAGGUGCGGCUGGAUCACCUCCUUUCUAA
rnacentral:rRNA from 1 species